rnacentral:snRNA from 1 species
ACCAGCACUAAUGCACCGGA